rnacentral:rRNA from 1 species
AUUGAACGCUGGCGGCAUGCCUUACACAUGCAAGUCGAACGGCAGCGGGGGAGAAGCUUGCUUUUCCUGCCGGCGAGUGGCGAACGGGUGAGUAAUACAUCGGAACGUGCCCAGUCGUGGGGGAUAACGUAGCGAAAGUUACGCUAAUACCGCAUACGAUCUACGGAUGAAAGCGGGGGACCGUAAGGCCUCGCGCCAUUGGAGCGGCCGAUGUCAGAUUAGGUAGUUGGUGAGGUAAAGGCUCACCAAGCCGACGAUCUGUAGCUGGUCUGAGAGGACGACCAGCCACACUGGGACUGAGACACGGCCCAGACUCCUACGGGAGGCAGCAGUGGGGAAUUUUGGACAAUGGGCGCAAGCCUGAUCCAGCCAUUCCGCGUGCAGGACGAAGGCCUUCGGGUUGUAAACUGCUUUUGUACGGAACGAAAAGGCUCUGGUUAAUACCUGGGGCUCAUGACGGUACCGUAAGAAUAAGCACCGGCUAACUACGUGCCAGCAGCCGCAGUAA